GGCUCAGAUUGAACGCUGGCGGCAUGCUUUACACAUGCAAGUCGAACGGUAACAGGCCGCAAGGUGCUGACGAGUGGCGAACGGGUGAGUAAUGCAUCGGAACGUGCCCAGUCGUGGGGGAUAACGCAGCGAAAGCUGUGCUAAUACCGCAUACGAUCUAUGGAUGAAAGCGGGGGACCGUAAGGCCUCGCGCGAUUGGAGCGGCCGAUGUCAGAUUAGGUAGUUGGUGGGGUAAAGGCCCACCAAGCCAACGAUCUGUAGCUGGUCUGAGAGGACGACCAGCCACACUGGGACUGAGACACGGCCCAGACUCCUACGGGAGGCAGCAGUGGGGAAUUUUGGACAAUGGGCGCAAGCCUGAUCCAGCAAUGCCGCGUGCAGGAAGAAGGCCUUCGGGUUGUAAACUGCUUUUGUACGGAACGAAACGGUCUGGGUUAAUACCCUGGGCUAAUGACGGUACCGUAAGAAUAAGCACCGGCUAACUACGUG
rnacentral:rRNA from 1 species